UAAGGGAUAUUGCGCAAUGGGCGAAAGCCUGACGCAGCAACGCCGCGUGGAGGAAGAAGGCCUUCGGGUCGUAAACUCGUUUUGACGCUGAGGAGGAAGGACCGUAGGCGUCGAAUAAGUCACGGCUAACUACGUGCCAGCAGCCGCGGUAAAACGUAGGUGGCGAGCGUUAUCCGGAUUUACUGGGCGUAAAGGGUGUGCAGGCGGGAGGACAAGUGGUGUAUGAAAGGGAGCGGCUCAACUGCUCCAUGCUAUGCCAGACUGUGCUUCUGGAGGGCGAAACAGGGCUGUGGAAUUCCGGGUGUAGUGGUGAAAUGCGUAGAGAUCCGGAGGAACCCCAGAGGCGAAGGCGGCAGCCUGGUUCGUACCUGACGCUCGGACACGACAGCAUGGGGAGCGAACGGGAUUAGAUACCCCCGUAGUCC
rnacentral:rRNA from 1 species